rnacentral:rRNA from 1 species
GAUUGAACGCUGGCGGCAUGCCUUACCCAUGCAAGUCGAACGGCAGCACGGACUUCGGUCUGGUGGCGAGUGGCGAACGGGUGAGUAAUGUAUCGGAACGUACCUUUCAGUGGGGGAUAACGUAGCGAAAGUUACGCUAAUACCGCAUAUUCUGUGAGCAGGAAAGCAGGGGAUCGAAAGACCUUGCGCUGAUUGAGCGGCCGAUAUCAGAUUAGCUAGUUGGUGGGGUAAAGGCCUACCAAGGCGACGAUCUGUAGCGGGUCUGAGAGGAUGAUCCGCCACACUGGAACUGAGACACGGUCCAGACUCCUACGGGAGGCAGCAGUGGGGAAUUUUGGACAAUGGGGGCAACCCUGAUCCAGCCAUGCCGCGUGAGUGAAGAAGGCCUUCGGGUUGUAAAGCUCUUUCGGCCGGGAAGAAAUCGCAUAGGCUAAUACCCUGUGUGGAUGACGGUACCGGAAUAAGAAGCACCGGCUAACUACGUG